rnacentral:rRNA from 1 species
UCUUGGUCAUUUAGAGGAAGUAAAAGUCGUAACAAGGUUUCCGUAGGUGAACCUGCGGAAGGAUCAUUAUUGAUUUUAAAGGAUGUGCUGGCAUUUAUGCAUGUGCACUCUUAAACCAAUAUCCACCCUGUGCACACUUGUAGGCAUUCCUUUGCCUAUGUUUCUUCACAAACAACUAUUGAUGUAUUUGAAUGCUAUUUGAUAAAUUGUAAUACAACUUUCAACAAUGGAUCUCUUGGUUCUCGCAUCGAUGAAGAACGCAGCGAAUUGCGAUAUGUAAUGUGAAUUGCAGAAUUCAGUGAAUCAUCGAAUCUUUGAACGCACAUUGCACCCUCUGGUAUUCCGGAGGGUAUGCCUGUUUGAGUGUCAUUAAUAUCUCAACCCAGACANGUUUAACAACCUGCUCUGUUGCUUGGAUGUUGAAGGCUUGCUGGCUUUUUCAAGUCAGCUCCUUUUAAAUUCAUUAGCAGAAAUGAUGGGCAAAACUGGCUUCAGUUUGAUAAACUACUUUAUCUGUACUGCUGUCGCUAGUGAAAGAUACCUAACAUAUUUCAGCUUCCAAUUGUCCCAUGUGGGACUGUCUUCUUGAAGGCAUAACCAACUUGACACUUGACCUCAAAUCAGGUAGGACUACCCGCUGAACUUAAGCAUAUCAAUAAGCGGA